UACACUCCUACGGGAGGCAGCAGUGGGGAAUUUUGGACAAUGGGGGCAACCCUGAUCCAGCAAUGCCGCGUGAGUGAAGAAGGCCUUCGGGUUGUAAAGCUCUUUUGUCAGGGAAGAAACGGUGGUGGCGAAUAACUACUACUAAUGACGGUACCUGAAGAAUAAGCACCGGCUAACUACGUGCCAGCAGCCGCGGUAAUACGUAGGGUGCAAGCGUUAAUCGGAAUUACUGGGCGUAAAGCGUGCGCAGGCGGUUGUGUAAGUCAGAUGUGAAAUCCCCGGGCUCAACCUGGGAAUUGCAUUUGAGACUGCACGGCUAGAGUGUGUCAGAGGGGGGUAGAAUUCCACGUGUAGCAGUGAAAUGCGUAGAUAUGUGGAGGAAUACCGAUGGCGAAGGCAGCCCCCUGGGAUAACACUGACGCUCAUGCACGAAAGCGUGGGGAGCAAACAGGAUUAGAUACCCCUGUAGUCCCA
rnacentral:rRNA from 1 species